rnacentral:rRNA from 1 species
CCAAUAGCGUAUAUUAAAGUUGUUGCAGUUAAAAAGCUCGUAGUUGAACUUCAGGCCUGUCCAGAUGGUCCGCCUUAAUUGGUGUGUACUGUCCUUGGGUGGGUCCUACCUUCUGGCGAAGCGGCAUGGCCUUAAUUGGUUGUGUUGGGGAACCAGGACUUUUACUGUGAAAAAAUUAGAGUGUUCAAAGCAGGCAAUAAUAUGCUCGAAUACAUUAGCAUGGAAUAAUGGAAUAGGACGAUGGUUCUAUUUUGUUGGUUCUAGGACCGUUGUAAUGAUUAAUAGGGAUAGUUGGGGGCAUUAGUAUUCAAUUGUCAGAGGUGAAAUUCUUGGAUUUAUUGAAGACUAACUACUGCGAAAGCAUUUGCCAAGGAUGUUUUCAUUAAUCAAGAACGAAAGUUAGGGGAUCGAAGACGAUCAGAUACCGUCGUAGUCUUAACCAUAAACUAUGCCGACUAGGAAUCGGGCGAUGUUGACAAAAUGACUCGCUCGGCACCUCAUG